rnacentral:rRNA from 1 species
UACGUAGGGUGCAAGCGUUGUCCGGAAUUAUUGGGCGUAAAGAGCUUGUAGGCGGUUUGUCGCGUCUGCUGUGAAAUUUCGGGGCUCAACCCCGAACUUGCAGUGGGUACGGGCAGACUAGAGUGUGGUAGGGGAGACUGGAAUUCCUGGCGUAGCGGUAAAUGCGCAGAUAUCAGGAGGAACACCGAUGGCGAAGGCAGGUCUCUGGGCCACUACUGACGCUGAGACGCGAAAGCGUGGGGAGCAAACAGG